GACCUUAUUAAAGGAAUAGAAGAAGAAUUUAUAAUCACGUUCAUUGCUUAUCAUAUUUUUUUCUACAAAUGACUGUUGCUUAAUACUUUAUUUUUGAUAUAAUCCAUGCAGAAUGGAUAUGGAGCAAACAGUAAUUAAGAAACGAAAUCGAGAUUCACGAUGAUUUUAUUUGGAAUACGAAUAUUUAACAAGAAUUGAGUAAUGGAAUUUCUAGUGUCGCAUUUCAAAAUGUAAAUACAAUUAGUAUGCAUCCUAUUAAACAAGAAAUAAGUGACGAUCUAAACACAGCUCAAGUAUUUGAAGACUUUAUCGUGGCCGUAAAAACAGAGGAAUGCCCCAAUAGGGUUGAAAGCCCCAAUAUUCUAAACAAAUUUAAAUAGUGCAGCAUAAAAACUGAAAAGGGAACUAAAUCACGAGUGUUGUUAAAAAAUAUCUCAAUAGAAUUGGUGAGAUUAUAAUCUGUGAGUUGUGGAAAUUUAGACACAAAGCAAAUAGAAUUCAUUUAGCACUUUUCUACAAUUCAUUAUAUGAAAAAGAAAUUUUCCCAGACGAAUAAAUAUUAUAGAAAAGGGGAAACAACAGACAUUGCUGUAGACCAGGAUGUGAAAGAUGAAAUAAUUGAAGAUGGUUGGAAAAAGGAAGAAUAUAUUAGAUCUGCUGAUAAUUUCAACUUGACUUUGGAUGAAAGUCAAAAGUUGAAAAGAUAUGAUUCAAAAUCUAGAAAAAAUUUAUUUAAUUGUGAAUUUGUAAGCUGAUAGACAUAUGCGUACUCACACAGGAGAAAAGCUAUUCAAAUGCGAAAACUGCUCAAACACUUUUUCAGAUAGGAGUAAUUUGAAGAGACAUUUGCAUAGUCAUGCAGGAGAAAAUAAUUCAAACAUAAAAUUUGGUGGAAAUCUAUCAAAAGUAAAUAUUCUUUGAAAAAAUGUGUGGAUACAUAGUGGAAAACCAUUAAAAUGAAACUAUUUCAUGAAAGAAACUCAUUAAAGUUAGAUUUGUGUUUAAAAGAUGUUAAUUGUUUGUAAAGUGUUUCUUAUUUAUUAUUUUAUUUCAGAAAGUUUUAUUUACAAAUCGAAUUUAUACCUAAAGUAUUUUAAUUUAUUUUUUCUUUUCUUUUUUUUAUCGCUUUCUGAGAAAUAUUUUAGAUAAUAGUCAUUUGAACAUCCUUUCUGUUUCUAAUCACUUUCUAAUGAAAUCAUAACGCCAAAAUAGUGAUUUUGAAAAAGCAGUCAGUCAGUACAUACUGUUCAAGUUAAAUAUUUGUAAUUAUCUUUGACAAUAAAAUUCUAUUUAUUAAAUUAUCAAAUCUAUAUUAAUUUAUUCUGUUAAUGUCUUCGACUUCAUUUUGAAACCCUUCAAAAGUUGAUGAUUGAAAACAAUUUUGCAAAUAAAAUAGUUCAUACGAGGGUCGCUACUUAAGUUUUAAGAUAUGGUGUGAACACUAAUGUGAAAUGUCAAAUCUGACAAAAAUGCAACCGAAAGAGGUAACAAAGAGUGUAAAGGGUACUGUUUAGAAAAGCUGUGAAAAAUAUCAGCUCUGUAACUUGUAAAUAAAAUUUUUUAAAGCGAAAUUCCGGUUUAAAUUUGAAAUACCCUCGUAUAACAAUAAAUGAAGAAUGAUAUUUCACCCUUAAGGGAGCGUUCACGUAUUAUGUAACGCAAUGUUUUAAGAUCCUUAUCCCCAUACCCUUAUGAUAAAAAAAUAAACCAUGGCACAUGCGUUUAUAUCUUAAAUGAUUAUUUUCUUUUGUUGUGUUUUGUGUUUUUUAUUAUGGAUCCGAUAGAAUAAAAAAAAUCUUUGUUAGUUUCUAUAAUAUCGUCGUUAAAUACCGAUUUACGAACAAAAACAUCACGAAAACAAAAAGCAGUUCACACGUCAAAAAGAAUGACAAAAUUUUUAGGUUAGCAUCGUUAAAUUUUUGAAUGGGGUGUAGAAUUUGUUAAGAAUGUCAAUCACAGAACAACAUUGACAUUAUAUGACAUGACAUUUAGACAGCCAACUGAAGUUCCCGUUUCCGCGCCAUCUCUGUAUUUUUUAGCUGUACUAAUCGUAUAUGGAAAUAAUAGUUCCUUUCAUGCUUUUUUGGCGGCAUAUAGUAUGCCGUCAAAAGCUUAAAGGAAACUGUUGUUUCAUAUAUGUUUAGUAUUGCUCAUCCACCAAGAGAUGGCGCUGAAACGGAAACUCGAGUUGACAAUCUAAAGGUGGUGGUUGAUCUCUGGUUCAUAUAAAGGUUAUCUAUGUCUUUCGUUACAAGUGUUAAGUUGUAAAGAAGCAUUUUUGUUUAUUUAAUGAUACAGUUAUUUGGAUACCUGAAAUGGGUAUGCAAAAGUGUUUAGUGUCAAUUUGUGGCCAAGCAACUAAAACGCUACUCUGUUGUUG